CCUACGGGUGGCUGCAGUGGGGGAUAUUGCACAAUGGGGGAAACCCUGAUGCAGCGACGCCGCGUGAGUGAAGAAGUAAUUCGGUAUGUAAAGCUCUGUCAGCAGGGAAGAAAAUGACGGUAACUGAGUAAGAAGCCCCGGCUAACUACGUGCCAGCAGCCGCGGUAAUACGUAGGGGGCAAGCGUUGUCCGGAUUUACUGGGUGUAAAGGGAGCGUAGGCGGCUGUGCAAGUCUGGAGUGAAAGCCAAGGGCUUAACCCCCUGACUGCUCUUGAAACUGUAGAGCUUGAGUGCAGGAGAGGUAAGUGGAAUUCCUAGUGUAGCGGUGAAAUGCGUAGAUAUUAGGAGGAACACCAGUGGCGAAGGCGGCUUACUGGACUGUAACUGACGCUGAGGCUCGAAAGCGUGGGGAGCAAACAGGAUUAGAUACCCGUGUAGUC
rnacentral:rRNA from 1 species